rnacentral:sRNA from 1 species
GGUAGAGUAGCCAGGCAUCAGUCCUUAGCGAAGUGGCAGACACGGAAGGCUCUGGCUUCCCCGAUUUAGAGCCCUCUAACCUUAGAGGCUUCCAGGUGACGUAUAUGCAGAUUUUGUCUUUCUGGACACUUUGCCAAUGGCCUUGAGCCAAAGUCCUUCAAAAGCCCUCGGGAUGGGUCAGGUCCCGGCUCCACAGAUUGCCUUUGGCAAGCCCGGGUGUGAACGGUCCUACGUAAGACGCCCUGAGGAGAGAACCUCUGCCCAGAGUUCCUUCCCAGGAAGACCCAGGUGUUUUCCAAGGAAGGAGUCCAGACUUGCUCAAGGCUUCUGAGUUCUGGAUGGCUCCAGCGGAGGCAGCGCCGCGGCGGGAGGGGCGGGCGGCGGGCGCAGUUUUUUCCGCCCCUCGGUCUCCGGGUAACAGCUGCGGCUCCGCCAGACCCACCUCCGAGGGGAGGGAAGGCCGCCGCGCGCAGAUCUGAGCUAGCCCGGAGCUGCGGGCGGACGCCUCGCCGCGCGCAUCCCGCAAGAGGGUCGGGCGGUGACUCCUGCUCAGGUCAUGCCCUUAUCUGCUGAUCCAGCCGGCCCUGCCAGGUGACCAUGUCUGUCCUCGGCCCAGUUCUUCUCCAGGUGUUCUGGGCUGGCUGUGUCCUCACCCUGCAGUUCCCUGUACCAGCUGCUUUCACUGCCAAUGGCACACAUCUACAACACUUGGCGAGAGACCCCACCACAGGUACCCUCUAUGUAGGGGCCACCAACUUCCUGUUCCAGUUGAGCCCUGGGUUGCAGCUAGAAGCUGUGGUGUCCACGGGCCCUGUGAAUGACAGCCGGGAUUGCCUGCCACCUGUGAUACCUGAUGAAUGUCCCCAAGCCCAGCCUACUAACAACCCUAACCAGCUGCUCCUGGUGAGCCCAGAGGCUCUGGUGGUGUGUGGGAGCGUACACCAGGGCAUCUGUGAGCUACGGAGCCUGGGACAGAUCAUGCAAUUGCUGCUACGG